rnacentral:rRNA from 1 species
AUACGGAGGGUGCAAGCGUUGUUCGGAAUCACUAGGCGUAAAGGGCGCGCAGGCGGUUUGGUAAGUCAGAUGUGAAAGCCCAUGGCUCAACCAUGGAAGUGCAUUUGAAACUGUCAGACUUGAGUACUGGAGGGGAAAGUGGAAUUCCCGGUGUAGAGGUGAAAUUCGUAGAUAUCGGGAGGAAUACCGGUGGCGAAGGCGACUUUCUGGCUAGAUACUGACGCUGAGGCGCGAAAGCGUGGGGAGCAAACAGAAUUAGAUACCCGAGUAGUCC